UCUGCAGAGGGUUUCUCCAGCAGAAACCUCCGCUGAGAGCUUUUGAGGGAAAUGCAGCUUAGAAUAAAAAUAAUCUCCGAAAUUGUGCGGAGGACAACGACAGUUCGAGGCGAAGCUCUGUACCUGAAAAAAAAAAAAAGAAAAGAAAAAAGUAGUGAAAUCUGAGAAACAUAAAUGAUUGAUAGCAUCUCAGGCUGAAGACUGCUGAAACGUGUCGAUGACAGCAGGACCUGGCGCUGAAAACAAUCAUCAUACCAAAUGACAGAACAAUUAGCGUUGCCAGCAGAGAAAAUAGUUAUCCGAGGACAGCAGAUAUCUCAGCAUGCGAUGCUACACAAAAUGACACAAGAAGCCCUCAUCACACUGCACAAAAAGCAUAAAGAACACGGUUUUUGUUGUUUGCUUUUUAAGUGAGUGGAAAAACGGCAAAUCAAAGAUAUUGUCCUUAUCCUGCAGAGCUCACAAUCCGGGGGAGAGUAGGGAAGGUCCUGCAAACAAUUAUUUCCAGAUGAAGUUCCUACAGAGUUAUGUAUCAGGCAGACUAUGUAAACCUUGGAAGACACAUGGAUGUGAAAUGAUAAUGAUAUUUAAAAAAUUAAGAAGCUUGUCUCGUUAGACCUUCAGAAGCUUUGAGACGUUCCUUUUUUUUAAUAUAUAUUUCUGUGUGUGUGUGUGUUUCUGGGGCUGAAGAGGAGAG
ensembl:lncRNA